AAAAUCCGUUGUUUGUUUAAAUUUAAAACACAUGAGAAAUAAAUUGGAUUUUGUUUUUCAGCUCUCAGAAACAGAGUUUAGCGCUAACCAGCGAUAUAAGUGUUCUUGAAAUGUCUCGAAAGGAACUUGAAAAUCAGAUGGGAUCUUUGAGAGAAAAGCAUCAACGGGAUGCAGCUAGUCUAAAAAGUCAACUCAGUGAAGCUGAGAGUCAAGCAAAAGAUGUUCAGAAAGAGUAUGAAAGAACACAGACUGUGCUCUCAGAGCUGAAGGCGAAGUAUGAGAUGGCUGAACAAGAAAACCAGUCACUCACAGAAGAGCUCAAACAAUGUAAAGAAAACUUGAAGCUGCUACAAGAAAAAGGAAACAACCCUUCCAUAUUACAACCCGUCCCAGCCGUAUUCAUCGGCCUAAUCCUGGCUUUCCUGUAUUGGUGUUACGGCCCAUUGUGGUAGCGAAAGAGACAAUGGCCUUGGAUGCCUGUGAUGGCAGCUUUGGUUGCUGUAACAGCCGUGGUGCUGUACCCAGGCCUAACCAGAGCUUCUCCAUGAGAACUGUUGUUGAAUCCAUACACCGUCCUCCCUUUAGAAGCUGGCAACAUUCAUAUACUGAGGGAAAACAGAUUAAUUCUCUUCCUUUUUACCUCUUAAUACAGCACAGCUCUGCGUGAGAACAGCAGUAGGGUCAUUUGCUUUAAACUGUGUAAAAUGUAUCUGUCUAUAAAGAGGGAAU